GUGAGUGGGUGGGUGGCAUAAGGUGCGACCCCUUCAUCGUCAUGGGUUCUGACGAAGGAAUGAAUGGUUUGAGGUCAAACUGUCCCGUGCUGGAUGGAGCAAAAGAAUAAUAAAAUAAGACUUUGACAACUAUACAAACUGCAGCCUUUGGAAACAAACCAACAUUAAUCAAAAAGGAAACCCCAAGCAGAAACAGCAUAACAUCUGACAAGAUUGUCUAGUAUCACACUCGAUGAAAAAGCAAAUAACAAGUGAAGAAGUGCAUUAAAGUCUACAGUGAUACGAUGGGUUCUUCAGUGCUGGAUCAGUGGAGAGCUGGACGGCCGCCAAUUUUGCAGUACAGUGGUUACAGUGUGAAUCAACAUGAUCUUCACUCCAGAGAGAGAGGGACUUCCCCAUUUGACUCCAUUACAACAGUGAAUGUUCAUUCAAAGCACUUAGGUAAGUGCUACAUGUGAGAUGAGGCCAACUACAGGUUGUGUAAUGAAAAAUGGUGUUCAAAUAGUAGGGCUAAUGACAUCAAAAUCCUGCAUUAGAUUCUCAUGAAACACUAAAAUGUACACGCUCAAUUCAAAGUUGGUCACUUUUAAUGCAAUUCUCAAUUGUAUAAUGCAAAAGCAUAAUCAUAU